AUGGACACGCCCGAUAGGCCCCGCGCCGGCGCCGCCGCCGGAUUCGAGGACUCCCCCGUCUUCAAUUUUAUCAAUAAUCUAUCUCCUAUACCACCUCCUAAACCUCAAGACUCAUCACAUAAUGUGCACCUAUUCAAGUCGUCUGACUUGGCUCCUGUUUCUUCAAUCUUUGCCUCACCCCAUGUCAAUCCACCAAAGGAAUCUAAACUUCUGAUAAGGGAUGAUUCUGUUCAACUUUCUCAAGAUUCAAACUCUCCUAAUAGUGUUAGAACUCGAUUAGGGAGUGCUAUUAGGUUGAUCAAAUGCAAAAACAUUGUUUCGGAGAAUUGCAGUUUCACCUGCCACCUAAAUCAGGGACCUAUGGAUUCUUCUGCCAAUAGAUCAAACUCUACAAGUAAAUUGCCUCAAACCAUCCAGUUUGUUGGUGACAGUUCAGAAUGUGGUAAGAAUCAAAAUGCUGAUAGUAAAAAAGAUCUUGCUAGAGAUCAGGAGAGCAUAGAACUAGAAGGCGUCCUCCUUGAUCACACUGGCCCAGAUAAAAUCGACUCAUCACAACCUGGAAGAACCGUUCAUGAAAACCAACAAUGUGAACAACAAAAGGAUGGAUUUACAGCAUAUGAUGGGGAUUACUUGAUUACACAUGAAUCAAGUAUGGAUAUGCUGAGAUUAGCCCCACCAUGUGAGGCAGAUACACAGUUAGUGAAUGAGACACUAAACGCUGAUAAUGUGUUCUCUGGCAAUUCCUUGCUGACCGAUGGGCCAAGUGGCUCUUACAUCAACAAUGCUGCACAUGAUCCAAAUCUUUACUGGGAUGGAACGGUUGAAGGGCCCACGACAGAUUAUACCCCCCAAUUGCUCCCUGGUGCUUGUCAAAGUCAGUCAGUGUCAAAUGAUCAAAUCUGUAAUGCAGUUGAAGAGCCCAGUGAUCACAUACCAAUCGACCAAAGUGCCUUGUCACAGAAUAUGCGUGGUAUGCGCAGGCGUUGCCUUUUUAAUGAAAAGGCUGGGGCUGUUAACAAAGCUGCCAAGAAGACCUCGGAUCGCCAUUCUGCAAAUACAACUACCCCCAGAUGCAAAACUAAUUCUGGUGAUAAGCCUGUGAGAACCCCUCCAUGUGCAUUGCCUGGUAUUGGCUUGCAUCUGAAUGCCCUUGCCCCAAUAUCAACAGACAAAAUAGUCCCCCAAGCUGCUCAAUCUUCCAUAAAUCAAGCCAGCAACUUCCCCUGUGCUGUCAGUUCUUCAACAUCUGAAUCAAAUAUUGCAAAUGAAGAUUCCUCUCAGGCAAUCGUGGUUGCAAAUGCUGAUGAGUCUGGUCAGGGCAGUCCCAAGAAGAAAAGACACAAGUUUGAUGAUGGUGAUGGGACUUCAUGCAAGCGUUGUAGCUGUAAGAAGUCAAAAUGCUUGAAACUUUACUGUGAGUGUUUUCAUGCUGGAGUCUUCUGUUCAGAACCCUGUUCAUGUCAAGGCUGUCUUAAUAAGCCUAGCAACAUGGAGAUAGUUCUAUCUACUCGAGAGCAGAUUGAAUCUCGUAAUCCACUAGCAUUUGCUCCUAAAGUGAUUCGCACAUCUGAGCCUGGUCAGGAAUUAGGGGAGUACUCUAACAAAACUCCUGCCUCGGCUCGUCACAAAAGGGGCUGCAACUGUAAGAAGUCAUCGUGUCUAAAAAAGUACUGCGAAUGCUAUCAGGGUGGCGUGGGAUGCUCCAUAAGUUGCAGAUGCGAGGGAUGCAAGAAUGCUUUUGGUAGAAGGGAGGGACUCGGACCGUUAAGCAUUGAGGAAGCUAAGCAGGGAAAUGAGGAAAAUAGUGCUUGUGUGAAGGAAGAAAAAAAGGAAGAUGAUAAUAAUCAGCUCGUUAUCUGCCCAGCUGCUAAUCCAGUUCCUGCUGAGAAUGUACUGACAACACCUUCAGCUAUGGAUGUCAGACCCUUGGCUUCUCGUCCACCUUCAAGCUCUAAGAGGCCACGGUCUACGACAAAGGUCCUCGGACAUCCUUCUCGACUAUGCAACUCUCAAGCUCCUCUGAAGACGGACACUCUGCUCUCCCCAUUUGAAAACUAUGCAGAAAUUAUGUUUGGGGUGGGUACAUCAGAUAGCCUAAAAGGAGGGUUAUCUCCUCAAACUUCUGUCAAGGUCGUGUCACCGAAUAAAAAGAGGGUAUCUCCCCCGCGCAUUGGUACUGGGUUGUCUCCAAUUUGCAAGAGUGGCAGGAAGUUGAUCCUGAAAUCCAUCCCUUCAUUCCCUUCUCUCGGUGGUGAUGUAAAUAACGCGGAUACCAAGACCACCUUGCCAGCUCCUUGA
rnacentral:rRNA from 1 species